rnacentral:rRNA from 1 species
UACAUAGGGGCCUAGCGUUGUCCGGAUUUAUUGGGCGUAAAGAGCGUGUAGGCGGCCCGGUAAGUCCGCUGUAAAAGUCAAAGGCUCAACCUUUGAAUGUCAGUGGAUACUGCCGGGCUAGAGUCCGGAAGAGGCGAGUGGAACUCCUGGUGUAGCGGUGGAAUGCGCAGAUAUCAGGAAGAACACCAACGGCGAAGGCAGCUCGCUGGGACGGUACUGACGCUGAGACGCGAAAGCGUGGGGAGCGAACAGG